rnacentral:rRNA from 1 species
AUGCAAGUCGAACGGUAACAGGAAGCAGCUUGCUGCUUCGCUGACGAGUGGCGGACGGGUGAGUAAUGUCUGGGAAACUGCCUGAUGGAGGGGGAUAACUACUGGAAACGGUAGCUAAUACCGCAUAAUGUCGCAAGACCAAAGAGGGGGACCUUCGGGCCUCUUGCCAUCGGAUGUGCCCAGAUGGGAUUAGCUUGUUGGUGGGGUAACGGCUCACCAAGGCGACGAUCCCUAGCUGGUCUGAGAGGAUGACCAGCCACACUGGAACUGAGACACGGUCCAGACUCCUACGGGAGGCAGCAGUGGGGAAUAUUGCACAAUGGGCGCAAGCCUGAUGCAGCCAUGCCGCGUGUAUGAAGAAGGCCUUCGGGUUGUAAAGUACUUUCAGCGGGGAGGAAGGGAGUAAAGUUAAUACCUUUGCUCAUUGACGUUACCCGCAGAAGAAGCACCGGCUAACUCCGUGCCAGCAGCCGCGGU